AGAAAGCAGAACUAUCCAAGACGAUACAAGAAAUGAAUGAUGUAUCAGAACAUCACAUGGAAUUAGACGCUGCAGAAUCCCAUGGAGAGAAGGUUGCUAUUGAUACAUUAAAGGAUGCAGAACCAUUCAAUAUUCUACAACAAUUGGAGAAUGUAUCAGCACAUCACAUGGAAUUAGCUACUGCACAAUCUUUUGAAGUUUCUAUUGAUUUCGAUACAUUAAAGAUAAUGUAUCAGAUAUAUUAUUAUGAUACAUUCAACAUUAAUAAAUUUAGUAUUGACAUGAUA